UCAGUCAGUCCAGAGGUGGUAGAAUAGGUUCAGUCAGUCAGUCCAGAGGUGGUAGAAUAGGUUCAGUCAUUCAGUCCAGAGGUGGUAGAGUAGGUUCAGUCAGUCAGUCCAGAGGUGGUAGAAUUGGUUCAGUCAGUACAGAGGAGGUAGAAAAGGUUCAGUCAGUCAGUCCAGAGGUGGUAGAAUAGGUUCAGUCAGUCAGUCCAGAGGUGGUAGAAUAGGUUCAGUCAGUCAGUCCAGAGGUGGUAGAAUAGGUUCAGUUAGUCCAGAGGUGGUAGGAUAGGUUCAGUCAGUCAGUCCAGAGGUGGUAGAGUAGGUUCAGUCAGUCCAGAGGUGGUAGAAUAGGUUCAGUCAGUCAGUCCAGAGGUGGUAGAAUACGUUCAGUCAUUCAUUCCACAGGUGGUAGAAUAGGUUCAGUCAGUCCAGAG
ensembl:lncRNA